rnacentral:rRNA from 1 species
UACGUAGGGUGCGAGCGUUGUCCGGAAUUAUUGGGCGUAAAGAGCUUGUAGGCUGUUUGUCGCGUCUGCCGUGAAAGCCCAGGGCUUAACCCUGGGUCUGCGGUGGGUACGGGCAGACUAGAGUGUGGUAGGGGAGACUGGAAUUCCUGGUGUAGCGGUGAAAUGCGCAGAUAUCAGGAGGAACACCGAUGGCGAAGGCAGGUCUCUGGGCCACUACUGACGCUGAGGCACGAAAGCGUGGGGAUCAAACAGG